rnacentral:rRNA from 1 species
CUAAUGAGAGGGCAUACGUGACCAAGGAGAAGCAGAAGACAUUGGCUCUUCGGUAGGUACUAGGUAGCUUCUAUUUAUGCUAUAGCUCGAGCUCGGCGACCCCUUGUCUGCUUGGCACCUCAGGGUAGAGGGAGGUCAUACACGAUUUCGUAGGAAGGUUAUAAACUAGAGAUGAACUAUCAAGUGUGUGCUAGAUCGAGUAGAUGCGGGUAAGGAAGUACCUCUGGAGUAUCCAAGGAAGUACCUGUAGAGCGUUUCGCUAGUGCAUGUGUUGUUCGUCCUCGAGGAGGUUCUGUACGCUGCUGCACGGCGGCGUCAUCGAGGUGUUGACGUUGGAGCGAUAGAAGUACCCGCAAGCUAACAGUUGAGCGGGGGUGGAUGCUGUACGGCCGCGGUUCGAGGUGCGUAGGUAUUCUACUUCUUUGUCCGUAGGUCCGGGCUUUGUAGCGUCUACUUUUACGGAGUAGAAGGGAGGUUAGUAGAACUUCUGAGGUCCAUUCUACACCGUGCGCUCGGGCGUGAUGGGGACCAGACCGUCCAAUUGGGAGAUCGAAGAGACUGUCGGAUCGAAUACUAAGGCCUUCACCCUGUAGUGUAGCCCGUUGGCCCGCUGACCCACGAAGAGUACACCUCAACAACUGAUCCUACCGGCGGCGAUACGGUGUGCUUGUGUCAAAGUACUUGCGUACGUGUGUAGGACACUCGUUGCCACACUUGGCCGCCGUCACAGCGAAAUCAGCUGCCGUCUCCUACCCGUAGUACCUGCGGCCAUCAAGAGGUUGAUAGGGCAUUAGGCAGCCUAGUUGACUUAGCAGUAAACCAGCGAGAGGGUCAUGCGCCCGUGAGGGUCAACGACCCGGUGACUCGUGUGACGGUGGUCCAGCGGGAACGGCUGAAGCAGGUACUGAUAUAGAGCCACUGAAGAAGGGCAACGACGGGUAUCCGGUAUCAAGCACGGGAUGGCCAGACUAGCGACAGUUGUGAAACCAAUCCGUAGGAGAGGGUUUAGUCGCAUAUAGAACGAUCCAACGAGUAAUAUCUACACUUGAGGAGGAAAAGACUUUUUGUUACAAUCUAGUCUUGAGUGAGCAUGAAAAAUAAGUCAUAAAAAAACGCCCCUAUAACAACCGCGGCGGUAGGGGCGCCGCGGCGGAGGAAUAAGAUGGAGUGUGUUGAGAGGACUCCAAAGAGAGAAGAAGAGUGUUCUUGUGUUCUUGUGUGUGGGUGUGUGUGUGUGCGUGGUUCCUUCUUGUGUGUUCGAAACGGUUCUACGAGGGAACCACUAGUGUGCCACCGAUGUAACAAAGAGGUCGUCGGGAGAACCGGAAUUGGAAAAAGUAAUUGAGUUACGUCCAUAUAUAUGUGUUCCCCGAUCUGUGCGGGUGAUUGGGUGAUUGUGUGCAAUUGUGUGCAGGUAGUGAAUUGAAAGAUCUUAGUGAGAUCCCUACUGAACCGAUGACUGAACUGGCUAGCCGGAGAUGAUUGUUUGAUAGAGUUGAUCGUACGUGCCGAGUCAGGUACGUUAGUUGAUAGGAUGGAAAAUCGAUCGAGUGAUUGGUUGUUUGAAGUACAUCGAUUAGAGGAUGUACGUGCUCCGAUUGAUCGACGUCGUGGGCAUUGAUGAACUGAGUGGCUGAGUGAGCCGAUUGUAAAAACGACCAACAACGGAAGUCUAGAACACGUCGGCGAAGUGUGCCGUGAGCCGUAGAGAGGAACGUGGUGUAGCGUGUCGAAACGUCGUAGAGCAGUGGUAGUCGUAGAGCGACAUGAGCGGCAUAGCAUGCCGCGAUACCGUAGAGCGGAAGAGGCGUGUAGAGGCAACUUCGAAGCAGCUGAUCGAUGAGGGAUUAGAUACGAUGUACGUAAUGCUUUUGAUUUAUACGUCUAUGUAGUUAGUUUUAAUUGAGAUUGUUAAGUCAUACAAAGACUACACUAUUGACUUGAGUGAUCCCGUCUUCAUCAAAAUAGUCACACGAAGAAUACACUCUACUUGAGUGUUAAAGUUUCUCGACCCUUGACUUCUUAAGUCACUCGUAUUUUUAUAUAAGUUCAUCUCGCUUCCUAAGAAGAGAAGAUACUAAAAGAAGCUACUGAACGAUUAAUUCUAUGGGGAGUAACGAAGUUAGCUAAUACGGAACUAACUCCUUCGUUUUACCAGAGUGUAUCAACAAGAAUUAAUGAUCCCAUUAAUAAAGAUACAAAGUCCUGAAAUAUUACGAGACUUUGAACGGAAGCAACUCUGUGAGUACUUAACGUAAAUCCAACUGUCUCCAAACUUACCAACAAAAUAAGUCUCGUAAGAGAAGAAAAAAGUCACGUUAUUCGUUAUACUACUUCGAUGUAUCCCAUGUUUGAAUCAGAGACCUGAACUGCAGUAGUGUCUGGUUCUAUUAUUCGUACAGAGAAUUACAUACUAUUCAAGAACUAGAUUUUCAUCUCUCCCCGGUGCUUCACAUGAACGGUAAAAGUUUAUAAGGGGCUCUACAUAUUUCUCUUCGGAUAGUAUCUUUUAUACAAGAAUCAUUUAACUGUAAAAGAAAGUACUGAUCGGUACAUUUUAUUUGGUGACCUUUUUCGGUAGAAUGCAUGUCACCGUGAUAAACGUGAACGUAGGUAGAAUGUAAAGUCUGUGAAUUAAAACUAGAGAGUACAGUCCACGUCUUAAUACCUUCGUCUGGGCGCCUUAGCGAGGAUGUUACACAAGAAGAAACAACACACCGACGUAUGGAAAUUUAGUAUGGGGUUUAUUGUACAACGUUAAAAAGUAGAAUUUUAGUAUAUAUAUGAAGCGUUUUUCUAAAUAAGUCAAAUACAUAAUAUAGUACACGUAUAUACACUGAUUUUCAAGGGCGUUGUUGCACGCCCCAUAGUAGAUCAAUAUAGUCAAUAACAUGAUAAAAACCUAACUACUACUCUCUAGAUCUAAGCACUCUAAUCAACGUUGCUUUAAACCAAGUCAUUAAGUCACAAAUCUGUAUGUUCUAUGAUAUUAUCUCGAGUCCUAAUUUUACAAACAAGAGAAACAAAGUAAAAUCUUACGGGCGGCGUCAUAACGUCGUCGUGAUAGAGUUUCUGCACAGCGGCCCACAACAAUCCCUAAAGAAGACCGUACUACUGAAAGCCUAGUUCUUGUGAACCCAGUUAUACGAAGACAUCGUACUCUGUAACUUGCCCACGUGUUUCUGACCUUGUUACCAACAAACGACCCAGUCCUUCAAAGGUAAGAAGACGUUGCUGUACCUCAUACAAUAGCCAGCGUCCCAUACCCGUAGAGCUUUCUGCAUGAUGAUGCGAUUAUUCCUGAAGUCUCGGACGAUUCGUACUGCCCUCCUGACGUUAACUAUCUUUGUUCUCUCUUGUCCCAACCAAUCGAACUUGGUCUCGAACGAACUUCGUAUACGUGUAGACCUGUACUAAACCUAACUCAUUCGUGCAUUUCAACACUACGAUUGUGUAUGGUUCACCUCUCGUUAUAGUGUCCCAAUGGCACGAUCCUUAUACGAUACGUAUGUAGUAAGUACAUUACUAGAAGAUAAAUACAAAGAAUUCGGUAAUUAGAAUCCGAUUUCACAUCAAAUAAUCUCGUCAUAAACUUACUUUGUUUAUGACUGUGCCUUACACCUUCCAAACUUCUAAAAGAAUAUAUUAAGAAACUCUUGUCUAUUCAUUUGGUACAAUAAAAGUUUUACCGUUCAAAAGUCUUAAACUC